rnacentral:rRNA from 1 species
AACGAACGCUGGCGGCGUGGCUAAGACAUGCAAGUCGAACGGUACGUUGUAGCAAUAUGGCGUAUAGUGGCGAACGGGUGAGUAAUGAAUAGGUAACGUGCCCCGGGCACAGGAAUACCGCCGGGAACUUCGGUCCCUUUGCGAAAGUGGCGUUAAUACCUGAUGACAUCACCGGACGGCAUCUUUGGUGAUCAAAGGGUGGGGACCUUCGGGCCUAUUGGCCUGGGAGCGGCCUAUUUCCUAUCAGCUAGUUGGUGAGGUAACGGCUCACCAAGGCAAAGACGGUAGCCGGACUGAGAGGUUGGACGGCCACAUCGGGACUGAGACACUGCCCGGACAUCUACGGAUGGCUGCAGUAACGAAUAUUCCGCAAUGGGCGAAAGCCUGACGGAGCGACGCCGCGUGGAGGAUGAAGGUCUUCGGAUUGUAAACCCCCUUUCGGGAGGGAAGAUGGAACGAGCAAUCGUUCGGACGGUACCUCCAGAAGCAGCCACGG